rnacentral:rRNA from 1 species
AGCUACAGGCUUAACACAUGCAAGUCGAGGGGCAGCAUGAAAGUUUGCUUGCAAACUUUUGAUGGCGACCGGCGCACGGGUGAGUAACACGUAUCCAACCUGCCUCAUACUCGGGGAUAGCCUUUCGAAAAGAAAGAUUAAUACCCGAUGUCAUAGUCCUACCGCAUGAUGGGAUUAUUAAAGAAUUUCGGUAUGGGAUGGGGAUGCGUUCCAUUAGUUAGUUGGCGGGGUAACGGCCCACCAAGACAACGAUGGAUAGGGGUUCUGAGAGGAAGGUCCCCCACAUUGGAACUGAGACACGGUCCAAACUCCUACGGGAGGCAGCAGUGAGGAAUAUUGGUCAAUGGACGAGAGUCUGAACCAGCCAAGUAGCGUGAAGGAUGACUGCCCUAUGGGUUGUAAACUUCUUUUAUAUGGGAAUAAAAUGUUCCACGUGUGGGAUUUUGUAUGUACCAUAUGAAUAAGGAUCGGCUAACUCCGUGCCAGCAGCCGCGGUAAUACGGAGGAUCCGAGCGUUAUCCGGAUUUAUUGGGUUUAAAGGGAGCGUAGGUGGAUUGUUAAGUCAGUUGUGAAAGUUUGCGGCUCAACCGUAAAAUUGCAGUUGAAACUGGCAGUCUUGAGUACAGUAGAGGUGGGCGGAAUUCGUGGUGUAGCGGUGAAAUGCUUAGAUAUCACGAAGAACUCCGAUUGCGAAGGCAGCUCACUGGACUGCAACUGACACUGAGGCUCGAAAGUGUGGGUAUCAAACAGGAUUAGAUACCCUGGUAGUCCACACAGUAAACGAUGAAUACUCGCUGUUUGCGAUAUACAGCAAGCGGCCAAGCGAAAGCAUUAAGUAUUCCACCUGGGGAGUACGCCGGCAACGGUGAAACUCAAAGGAAUUGACGGGGGCCCGCACAAGCGGAGGAACAUGUGGUUUAAUUCGAUGAUACGCGAGGAACCUUACCCGGGCUUAAAUUGCACCUGAAUAAUGUGGAAACAUGUUAGCCGUAAGGCAGGUGUGAAGGUGCUGCAUGGUUGUCGUCAGCUCGUGCCGUGAGGUGUCGGCUUAAGUGCCAUAACGAGCGCAACCCUUAUCUUCAGUUACUAACAGGUUAUGCUGAGGACUCUGGAGAGACUGCCGUCGUAAGAUGUGAGGAAGGUGGGGAUGACGUCAAAUCAGCACGGCCCUUACGUCCGGGGCUACACACGUGUUACAAUGGGAGGUACAGAAGGCCGCUACCUGGCGACAGGAUGCCAAUCCCCAAAACCUCUCUCAGUUCGGAUCGAAGUCUGCAACCCGACUUCGUGAAGCUGGAUUCGCUAGUAAUCGCGCAUCAGCCAUGGCGCGGUGAAUACGUUCCCGGGCCU